rnacentral:rRNA from 1 species
UACGAAGGGAGCUAGCGUUGUUCGGAAUCACUGGGCGUAAAGCGCACGUAGGCGGAUGUGUCAGUCAGGGGUGAAAUCCCGGAGCUCAACUUCGGAACUGCCUUUGAUACAGCACGUCUUGAGUACGAAAGAGGGUCGCGGAAUUCCCGGUGUAGAGGUGAAAUUCGUAGAUAUCGGGAGGAACACCGGUGGCGAAGGCGGCGACCUGGGUCGAUACUGACGCUGAGGUGCGAAAGCGUGGGGAGCAAACAGG